CCCUUAGAUGUUCUGGGCCGCACGCGCGCUACACUGAUGCAUUCAACGAGUCUAAAACCUGGUCUGAGAGGGCUGGGUAAUCUUUUGAAAGUGCAUCGUGAUUGGGAUAGAUUAUUGCAAAUAUUAAUCUUGAACGAGGAAUUCCUAGUAAGCGCAAGUCAACAGCUUGCGUUGAUUACGUCCCUGCCCUUUGUACACACCGCCCGUCGCUACUACUGAUUGGAUGUUUAAGCGAGGUUCUCGAACUGCUAGCGACUUAGCUUCGGUGAGGUCGCAGUGUGGGAAGUGAACCUAGCUUUGGUGUCUAGAGGAAGUAAAAGUCGUAACA
rnacentral:rRNA from 1 species